rnacentral:rRNA from 1 species
UUUCUUGAGUCGCGAACGGGUGAGUAACGCGUAGGUAACCUGCCUAUUAGCGGGGGAUAACUAUUGGAAACGAUAGCUAAUACCGCAUAAUAUUAAUUAUUGCAUGAUAAUUGAUUGAAAGAUGCAAGCGCAUCACUAGUAGAUGGACCUGCGUUGUAUUAGCUAGUUGGUAAGGUAAGAGCUUACCAAGGCGACGAUACAUAGCCGACCUGAGAGGGUGAUCGGCCACACUGGGACUGAGACACGGCCCAGACUCCUACGGGAGGCAGCAGUAGGGAAUCUUCGGCAAUGGACGAAAGUCUGACCGAGCAACGCCGCGUGAGUGAAGAAGGUUUUCGGAUCGUAAAGCUCUGUUGUAAGUCAAGAACGUGUGUGAGAGUGGAAAGUUCACACAGUGACGGUAGCUUACCAGAAAGGGACGGCUAACUACGUGCCAGCAGCCGCGGUAAUACGUAGGUCCCGAGCGUUGUCCGGAUUUAUUGGGCGUAAAGGGAGCGCAGGCGGUCAGGAAAGUCUGGAGUAAAAGGCUAUGGCUCAA